rnacentral:rRNA from 1 species
AUGAAGAAAAUACCCUACCGGAUCUACACAAGGACAAGAACUAACAAGCAGUUUUCACUUUCUCGACAUGGGCGCAGGGGUGAUCGUCACGGACUACCGCACCCGAUGGGCAUCGUGCUCUUCAACAAUUCAGAGACGGACUUCACCAUGAAGCCCGGUGACUGUGUCACACAGAUGAUUGUCCAGGUGAUUGUGACACUGGAGGUCGACGAGGUGGAGGACCUUGGCGCCACCGUAAGGAGGUUGCCGAGGUGGAGGACCUCGAUGCCACCGUCUGGAGGAUGCUGA